rnacentral:SRP_RNA from 1 species
GGGCAAGUCCUGCACAACCAGCUCCCUUUGAACCCUCCAGGGCGGGAACGCAGCAAAGGUAUUAGGUUGUAGCGGUGUGAUGCAGGUCGCUUGCCCUUU